rnacentral:rRNA from 1 species
CUGCUGCCUCCCGUAGGAGUCUGGGCCGUGUCUCAGUCCCAGUGUGGCCGUCCACCCUCUCAGGCCGGCUGCUGAUCGUCGCUUUGGUGGGCCGUUACCCCGCCAACUGGCUAAUCAGACGCGGGCCCAUCCUGUACCACCGGAGUUUUCAAAGGAUUACCAUGCGGUAUUCCCUAUUAUGCGGUAUUAGCACCUAUUUCUAAGUGUUAUCCCCCGGUACAGGGCAGGUUGCCCACGCGUUACUCACCCGUCCGCCACUAAGACAGA